UACGGGGGGGGGUAAGCGUUGUUCGGAAUUACUGGGCGUAAAGGGCGCGUAGGCGGCCUUCUAAGUCGAACGUGAAAUCCCCGGGCUCAACCCGGGAACUGCGUCCGAUACUGGAAGGCUUGAAUCCGGGAGAGGGAUGUGGAAUUCCAGGUGUAGCGGUGAAAUGCGUAGAUAUCUGGAGGAACACCGGUGGCGAAGGCGGUUCUCUGGGCAGUAACUGACGCUGAGGAGCGAAAGCGUGGGGAGCGAACAGG
rnacentral:rRNA from 1 species